rnacentral:lncRNA from 1 species
AGAAUAUAAUUUGUGGUUUGAUAUGUUUUAGAGUUGCAUUUGAGCAACUUAGAUAAGUUUUAGAGUUAUGUUGAUAAGUUUAAGAGAGAGAUUUGUUCCUUAGAGUUGUCAGAGUUAUUAUUUGAGUAACUCUUAUAUGUUUUAGAAUUGUGUUGGUAUGCGUUGGUGUCAAGGGUUAUUACCCUCUUGAUGGUUUGACACAAGUAAUAAUAUUUAUGAAUUUUUUAAAAUUUUAAGAAAUUAUGAGUUUUUGAGAAUUUUG